UACAGAGGUCUCAAGCGUUGUUCGGAUUCAUUGGGCGUAAAGGGUGCGUAGGCGGCGCGGUAAGUUGGGUGUGAAAUCCCUCGGCUUAACCGAGGAAUUGCGCCCAAAACUACUGUGCUCGAGGGAGAUAGAGGUGAGCGGAACUUAGGGUGGAGCGGUGAAAUGCGUAGAUAUCCGGAGGAACACCGGUGGCGAAGGCGGCUUCCUGGACCGACACUGACGCUGAGGCGCGAAAUCCAGGGGAGCAAACAGG
rnacentral:rRNA from 1 species